CGUGUCUUUGGUCAGUUUGAACUAAGAGGGGGUAAUUACUAUUGUACAUAGUUAAAUGGUUACAAAUUCGUGAGAGAAAUAACCUUUUAUGAAAUAACGUCGCUAGCUUAUCGUAAAUAUACGAAAAAUCAAAAGGCCAAACUUUUCGCAGGAUUUUGAAUCCUCUAAUAUUUCCACAUUGCCGCUUGUUCAUCAAUCCUCUCAAACAACCAUCCCCAUCUCACUCCACAAUUCACCAUAACCCUAGCUGGAUAGCUUUCUCGCUCUACGAUCAUCACUAGUUCGUGAUAGGAAUUUUACGCUAAUCUCGGUUUAGCAGUUCGUUUGACCUACCUCCCAUAUUCUCCACUAAUCUGAAUUACGAAAUUUACAGAUUGUUUUUUUUUUUCUAGGUCUGAUUUGAGCCAAUUUACACUUUUAAAGGUGGAGAUUCAGGGUUUUAUUGCCAAUAAGGACUCAUAGAUGAUCUGAUCGACCUUCGUUUAGUAAGCGCUGUUCUAGUCUUCGGUUCUAGUAAAGGUUGAGGCGUCUACCAAUCAGGUAGUAGACGGAUAAAUGCUGGUGUAUAACCUUCCGCCAAAGGAGAACCAGAUACAGAUGAGAUGUCUUCUCAGAUAGGUUGAUCUGAUGCCUAAACUCAACAUGAGUAUCAUGAGCUUGACUAGUCCAAAUGCUCUGUUUGUCUAUUAUUCUGGCAGUUGAUCGUUUUACCAAUCUUUUGUGAUGACAGCAAGACGAAAACGCAGUUAACAAAGAACCAUCAUUGCAGCAGCAAACAAAGUUUCGUGUACAUUAUGUUUGCACUAGCCAUACAAGCACACAGUAAGUCCAGAACAACCUGGUCAACCAAAGUCAUCUCUGCAAAUUUAAUGGUCCUGGUUGCCGGUUGCACUUCACUUACUUCGAGAGGUCCUUAUGAUACUGCAACUGAUUAUGAGCCUCAGAGCAGUCGUGAUGACAUGGACAAUCGAGUGAUGAUAGACAAGAUGAUCUUGCUGCACGCAUGGUGUAGUCUAUCUGGUUUUUACAUGAUAGCAUAAUUUGGAUGGAAUAAAUAGUGUUCCAGGUGUAUUAUAUAUCUUUGAGGAUUAAAGCAUUUCAGACAAUCAGACAUAACUCAAGUUAACAAUGAUGAAGACAUAACUUUGUUUAAAGACCUUAAUUAGUAAAGCAAUUAAUAUUUAUGCAGCACUUGUGUGAAAAUGUAGUCUAUUUAGCCUUGCAACCUAUUUUAGUCUCCACCUUUAGACUUGAGUGAAAAUGUAACCUAUUUAGCAUUGCUACUUAAUGUCACCUUUUUUUAUGAUACUAAGAAGAAAAAAAAUCCAAACCAUAUGCAGGGAGAUGGAUUAACGCGACAAAGAGAAAGAUGCGUUUCUGAAGUGCAGGAGGAAAAUGAUAAAGAAUUCAGCGUUAAGGAAUUGUAUGAAUCCAAUAACAUCCAGGAGAUAAUUUCACGCCUACAAAUUGAUAAAACUACUAUAGAUCAGCUGGAACUACUAAAAAAUUUAAAAGGGUGGACUGUUAAGAAAUAUAAGCGUACAGAAACAAAUGGAAGAUAUAGAGUUGACAAGACUUUUCGACAUCCAAAGUCAAAAAAGUGGCUGAGGUCACUCUUCAAAGUAAGAGAGUUCAUACUGGAUAGUUCGCAUAUAGGAAAAGCAUCAGAUAAUGGUGAAGGAGGCUCACAGAUUGAAAAGGUAAACUUGGUUAUCAAGGAGCUCGUUGAGGAAAAUGAUGAAGAAGAAGAAAAGUUGAAUAGAAUUAUUGCGGGGCCGUCGGCU